rnacentral:rRNA from 1 species
GACGAACCGUGCGAACGUUGCUCGGAAUCACUGGGCUUAAAGGGCGCGUAGGCGGGCCUCCAAGUCCGGGGUGAAAUCCUCCAGCCUAACUGGAGAAGAGCCUCGGAGACUGGGGGACUCGAGGGAGGUAGGGGCGUGCGCAACUAUGGGUGGAGCGGUGAAAUGCAUUGAUAUCCAUAGGAACUCCGGUGGCGAAGGCGGCACGCUGGACCUCUUCUGACGCUGAGGCGCGAAAGCCAGGGGAGCAAACGGG